ACGUCAAGUCCUCAUGGCCCUUACGGGCUGGGCUACACACGUGCUACAAUGGCGGUGACAGUGGGAAGCAAUGGGGUGACCCUGCGCAAAUCUCAAAAAGCCGUCUCAGUUCGGAUUGGGCUCUGCAACUCGAGCCCAUGAAGUCGGAAUCGCUAGUAAUCGCAGAUCAGCACGCUGCGGUGAAUACGUUCCCGGGCCUU
rnacentral:rRNA from 1 species